rnacentral:misc_RNA from 1 species
GAUGAAGAACGCAGCGAAAUGCGAUAAGUAAUGUGAAUUGCAGAAUUCAGUGAAUCAUCGAAUCUUUGAACGCACCUUGCGCUCCUUGGUAUUCCGAGGAGCAUGCCUGUUUGAGUGUCAUUAAAUUCUCAACCAUUAUCAACUUUUGCUGAUAAUGGCUUGGAUGUGGGGGUCUAUUUUGCUGGCUUCUCAGAUAGUCAGCUCCCCUUAAAUGCAUUAGCCGGUGCCCCGCGUGGACUGUCUAUUGGUGUGAUAAUUAUCUACGCUAUGGACAUCUGCAAUCAUAUGGGUUUGCGCUGCUUCUAACAGUCUGUUGAUUCAGACAAUACAUGACAAUUUGACCUCAAAUCAGGUAGGACUACCCGCUGAACUUAAGCAUAUCAAAAGCGGAGGA